AGCCCGCUGGUCAAAGUGGUUUAAGACGUCAGCUUCUCAGGCUGAAGCUUCGGGUUCGAGUCCCGAGCGGGUUA
rnacentral:tRNA from 1 species